GCUACAAACUGCUAACCAGUACCCUGCAUGGAAAAAAUAAGAAAAUUAACUAGCUAGUUAGUUGCUUCCUUAGAGUUUUCUGUAUAUAUAAUAGCUAUACUUAUAUAGAUUUAUUUAUUUCUAUCUAAUCUGUACAUGUUUUUCCAUGCUUUAUUGACCUAUCUAGUAUUUCUAAAUGAUGUUGCGUAAGAGUGAUGGGAGAUGCCAUCUUUUUUUCUCUUUCUAAUUUCCAAUCUUAGAAGACAACAGUAUAGUCUAACACCAGUAUGUUAGUAUGGUAGUUGCUUUAUCUGUCUGACUGAUGCCCAUCUUGAAGUUGAAGAAGAUCCCUUUUGCUGACUGUUCUUAUGAUGAAUGACUGCUUAAUUUUGUCAAAUACUUUUUCUUUAUAUGUGAAGACAAUCAUGUAUUUUCUGCUGUAGUCUGUUAGUGUGAUAAAUUAUACUUAUAAUCAAAUAUUUAAUGAGUUUCUUAUUCCUAAAAUAAGAAACACUUGAUAAAAAUAUGUUGCCCUUUUUACUCUAUUGCUGGUUCAAUAUGUUAAUUUUUUCCUUAGAAUUUCUGUGUUGCGAGGAGAGGGACUCAAGAUGGCGCUGUGAGAACAACCCAGGAUUGGAGCUCUUCUCGUUGAAUCCGCAAAUGGUUGGAGUCUCACUAUGUUGCCUAGGCCAGUUUAGAACUUCUGGCCUCAAAUGAUCUUCCAACCUCAGCCUUCUAAGUAGCUGGAACUAUAAGCACGAACCAACUUGCCUAGGUACAGUCCAGAGUAAUGUAUUAAAUACUUAAAUAUUUGUUAAAAGGAUUUCUCAUAUUAAAUGUUCUUAUUGGAAUAAAAUUAAAAAUUUUAAAGAAAUAUUUUAAAAAGUAUCUACCUACAAUAACAAAAGUAAAUUAAAAUAAAACAAUAGCAAAACCAACAAAACAAAUAAAUGUAUGAAGCUGUUAGACUACAACCUAAUACAAUGUAUAAAUGGUAAAAAACUCAUCAAAGAUAAUAGUAUUUUCUUAUCUUUACUUACAAAUAAAGCAUUAUAACAUAUAAAGUAAAUUAAUGAAGAUGAAGUCACAAUUGCAAUGAGAUAUGCUUUUACAUCUCUAUCAGAAAUAUUUAUAUCAUAAAGCAAAUAAUAAUGUAGAUUAAAAUAACAUAACUAUUACAAGAAAUAUUACAGCAGUUAAGCAUAUACACACAUUUUGAAGCCCAUAAAAAAUCAGUUUGUACUACUCACAAAAGAGAUUCCUACAAAUUUUUUAAAUCUAUAAAGUGUGCAAGAUAGUCUCUGAUAAUAUAUUAACACUACAAAUCAUAAUUCAAAAUAAUUUCUAGAAAUUAAAAUUUAAAUAAUUUUUAUUAUAUUAUACCUUUAAUUCAUGGGUUAAGGAGGAAUUUAUAAUGGAACUGGAUGAUAUUAGAAGUACUCUAUUUCAAAGCCUACCAAUACAAAUACAUUAUUUAUAGGAAAGCUAUGAUCACAAAAACAGUUACCAAAAAACAGACAAAAGUGGAGUAUCAAAAACGGGGAAAAGAAAAUAUAGAUAAUUAAAUACAUUAAUAAAAUAGAAUAUAUGAAUUAAAAAGUAAAAAAAAAUAGCUAUACUUCUCACAAACCUAUCCCUAUCUUGUCAGAAAGUAAAAGCAAACAAAACCAUAACCAACCAGUUAACAACGAAAAAAUUUAGAAUGAAAAAGGUGUUUCAUGUAUAUAAAUUAUUCAAAAUGUUAAAGUCAGUUUGAUUGAUUUUAUACCCCAGAUGUUGAAAAAAAACUGACUUAAAAUCUGAUAUAUUUAGUGAAAAUAUUAAUCAUAAAAAUUCUCUCAAGUAUUUGAAAAAUCUAAAAAUACAUUUGAUGAUGUACAAUCUUUGCUAUUAAGUUUUUACUCUUAUUCUCAUUAUUCAUUUCCCACCUUUAAUAGGCAGUGGGUUUAGGUAAUAUUUAUUGGUUAAUACUACUGAACUGUGAAGAUAAAAUUUAUAUCUCAUAGAAUAAAAGAAUUAAUAAAAAAGUAGUGUCAUGAAACAAUUUGCAUAAGUUGAAUAAUAUUGUUACCAGAAUCAAGGACAGUGAUAGGAAGAAAUUAUAUACAGAAACGAAGUUGUCAACAUAGCAUUAAAAAUUUAAAUAAAAUUAGAUGUUUGGUUCCAUAAGUAUUCCAAACAAAUACGCACAUACACGUGUAUAUGCUGAAACACACAAGGAAGAGUGCAUGCAAGAAAUCCAAGAACAAUUAAAUAUAGGAAUUACCAAUUAAUGUAAUUAUCAACUAAUAUAUAUGUUUCAGAAAUGUAAAGAUGAAAAUAAACAUAUCAAAUCUGUAGAAUCUUCUACAUGAAACAUAUACAAGAAAGAUAGUGACAAUUUUGUUUGCAUUAGUGAAAAAUUAGAAAUGACCUAAAUAUCCAGAAAUAGGAAAUGGGUAAGUUA
ensembl:lncRNA